rnacentral:rRNA from 1 species
UACGAAGGGUGCAAGCGUUAAUCGGAAUUACUGGGCGUAAAGCGCGCGUAGGUGGUUCAGUAAGUUGGAAGUGAAAUCCCCGGGCUCAACCUGGGAACUGCUUUCAAAACUGCUGAGGUAGAGUACGGUAGAGGGUGGUGGAAUUUCCUGUGUAGCGGUGAAAUGCGUAGAUAUAGGAAGGAACACCAGUGGCGAAGGCGACCACCUGGACUGAUACUGACACUGAGGUGCGAAAGCGUGGGGAGCAAACAGG